rnacentral:lncRNA from 1 species
GGGUGCUCCAAGGAGUCGGAGGAACGCGGCCGCGCGACGGGCCCCGGACGCCGAGGGUGGUGCUUCCUCCGAGCCUCCGGUGGUGAGGCCGCUCUCAGAAGGUCAUGGAAGCGCAGGGGAGAGCGAGGCGGCCGAGCCCAGGCAAAUCCUCGAGAAAGGCCGAGUGCGCGACGGCUCUGCGGGGAGGACCGCGCCUCCCCGAAUGCGGCCGCUGCUGCCGCUGCAAACAGUGCCUUGAGGAGAGGAAAGCGGGGAACCGUGUUUUCGCCGCCUCUGUAACCACUGCACACAAGAAAACCAGCUUCUGGGAGAGGGGGAUGAUUGUUGGGACUUUGCGAAUUACCUAAACAGCCCAGGGCCGAGGCGCCGCCGCUCGCGUCCUGGUCCUCCUGCCGGGUGUGGGGCUCCCCUGCCCGAGAUGGCCAGCGGGCGCGCCGAGAGUAUCCUGGAGCCAUCUAGUCUUGCCUCGGAGGCGGGGUGGGCUUAUUUGUGCGGAGAAGAAACGGAUCUCUUAAUGGGGUGAGAUUUUUCCUCCGUACAUUGUUCCCAUUUCCGCAGUUUCACUUGGCCUCGGUUUUCUAGCAGAGUAAUCACCAAAUGAAAUUAGCUGGAGAGCGUUUGAUGGCGCAGAAUCACGGUCUGAAGAUGUUUACGCUGUAUGCCGGACGCGUUUGAUGGUGUUCUCUUCGGCACAAUUAAUUUUGCAAAGUUCAGAAAUGUGCCAGACAGAGCCCCUGGCACGCAGUCAGGACUCUACAGACACACCUUGAGUAGGAAACAGGCUUGUUUGUUUCAUCUGUGAUUUAUGUGAUGCACCAGCACCAAGGCCAACGUGUUUUUUAAAGACCUUUCGAUGAAACUCCAAAGCAAUUUAUAAAUUGGCAAAAUGAAGCUUGUUUUGUAAAAUAACUCUUCCUUGUUGAUCAUGUAAUUAAAUGGGCAACAAAACACCUGAAAGGACAUUUACUGAAAAGUAGACUCCCAAAACAAAAAUAUGUAUUUCACAGCUAGAUACGGUCGCUAUUAGCGUCCUAAUGGCCAACUCCAUCCAUGUGCGUAUUUUGAACACUAAAAACGCCUCCUGUUACCCCUAAGACCUUGUUUGGAUAACAUUUUUCUAUUAUAAGUACUCGAAACCAACCCCAUUUAAGAUGUUUACCCUUAUUCUUGAGUCCUUGAUGGUUUGGGAAAUUUAUCAUUAUUCAUAUUGCACAAUCCUGUCACUGUCUUUUCCAUUAGGCACAGUGCCUAAGGUCCACAAUAUUUUUAGAGGCCCACAAAAAAUAUUUUAAUUUCUUUUCAAAUCAGAAGGAAAAAAAAUUUAGGUUUAAGAAAGUAUUUUAAUAUAUAUUAAUAUAUUUGUUUUUGUGCUAAUACAAUCUUAAAAUGUAUGUAUAUAUGUGUGUGUGUAUAUGUAUAUAUAUUUUAAUGGAGUAAGGGGCUCAACGAAGGCAAAAAGGCCUAGAGCCCAAGAAAAACAUGAUGUGGCCCUGUUGCCUGGGGUUGAAAAAUCCCAUUCCAUGAGAAGAAUUUAGUUUUAAGAAUAUUACAUAAAAUGCUCAUUUCUGUGGCCUUGCUAUAAUAGAAAGAUGGAGAUUCAGAGUAGUGAUAAUGGCUAACAUCCACCUGAUACACACCAUGUGUCCAUUACCUCUUAAUCCUCACAGCACACCUGUGAAAUAGGUACUAUUCUCACACUUAGGGGGUAAUGCAGGUUUUGUGGGGCCUGCAAUUUAUGCAAUUUGGGUGGUCCUCUUAAAGAAAAAGCAAAUACUGUGUAUUAGUCCGUUCUCACACUGCUAUAAAGAACUGCGCGAGACUGGGUAAUUUAUAAAGGAAAGAGGUUUAAUUGACUCACAGUUCCACAUGGCUGGGGAGACCUCAGGAAACUUAACAAUCGUGGUGGAAGGAGAAGCAAGUACCUUCUUCACAAGGAAGCGGAAAGAAUUGUGAGCGGAGGAACUUGCCAAACACAAAACCGUCAGAUCGCGUGAGAAUUCAGUUACUAUCACGAGAACAACACGGGAAAACUGUCCCCAUAAUCAAGUCAUUUCUCUCCCUAACAAGUGAGGAUUACAAUUCAAGAUGAGGUUUGGGUAGGAACACAAAGCCUGACCCUAUCCCACAGCAUGUCCAGGCUGCCCUAGCACCACCCAAUAGAAGGGAAAAUGGCAGAGGGAAAGUCCUAGUGGAAAGAGACCUCAGUCUCAGCUAAUUGUGGUGACAAUAUAUUGCUUUUGCAAAUUGUACAUAAACAUAUGACCAGGUGAAUGUAUCGCCAAGGCUCCUGCCAAGGCCUGGGAUGGAGGCCUAGAGAAGAUGCCCGAAAGUUUAUGCUGUGUGAGCUUCACAGAAGACCUGCCUUCCAUGUAUACCCAUUUUACAGGUAAGAAAUUUAGGGAUUUGCCACAGCUUCUAAGGAACACCACAUUCCUUACACCAUACUGAGGUACAAUUUGAAGAGUUGCGGUAUACGCACUGUUUCGUGAGGAAAAACGGAGUUUCUGUAACAAAGCAAGAGCUUUAAAAAUAUGUUAGCAAUAUUUGACCAGGCCAUAACCCAGCUUGGGGCACCUGACUGCUGUCUGUGCUGUCAAGAAUAAAUUUUUCUUAUCUGUUGUAUAAAAAUCUGAAUUAAUCCAUAUGGACUCCUGAAGGAAUUUCAGCUCAAUUUCAAGUCUCAUGGAUUGAGACUAUUUUUACUUACUUUGUCAUAGACCAGUCUGUGUUGUAAAUUCUAAUUUAUAUAAUAUUUACUUUUUGCAAUUUCAUGAAGUGUUGCAAAAUAAGUAUCAGAACAAGAACGUACUUUGUUUGAUGCUUAUAUUGCAUAAUACAACGAGCCUUAUCUCCAUAAGUGUUUGUUGAAUAAAUAAAAUAAUGAAACAGAGUAAGUCACAAAACUGAAGUAAAAGUGUAGGUUUUGUCACAAGCUAAAAUUGAAUGGGACUGAAGUAGCAAAAUGUUGAGCUGUAAGUACUUGCUGGAUAAGCAGAAUUGACUUCUUAGUUAAUUAUUUUGUGCUAAACGUCUGUGAUCUUCUUCCCAGCUACUGGCUCUUCUUUCUGUUUUUGUUUUGAUAAUUUAUUUUCUUUUUUGUAAAUGCUAUUGCAUUUGAAAUGCAUCAUUAUAUAAUAAUGUUUAAAUGAAACAAAAAUCAUAGUCACACCUGUAAUGAAAGUUCUGGAAAUGAAACGCUUUGUUUUUUGAACAGAUCAAUUACUCACAGAAACAGCAACCUUGA